rnacentral:pre_miRNA from 1 species
UAACUACUCCCUCCGUCUCAAAAUUUUUGUCUUAGAUUUGUCUAGAUACGGAUGUACCUAAUACUAAAACGUGACUUGAUACAUCCGUAUUUAGACAAAUCUAAGACAAGAAUUUCGGGACGGAGGGAGUAAUAA